UACAGAGGUCUCAAGCGUUGUUCGGAUUCAUUGGGCGUAAAGGGUGCGUAGGCGGCGCGGUAAGUCGGGUGUGAAAUCUUGGAGCUUAACUCCGAAACUGCAUUCGAUACUGCCGUGCUUGAGGACUGGAGAGGAGACUGGAAUUUACGGUGUAGCGGUGAAAUGCGUAGAUAUCAAGAGGAACACCUGAGGUGAAGACGGGUUGCUGGGCUGACACUGACGCUGAGGCGCGAAAGCCAGGGGAGCAAACGGG
rnacentral:rRNA from 1 species